GCAACUAGCUCGAACGGUAGAGCGCCUGGUUAACGCCCAGGAGGUACAGGGAUCGAUCCCCGCUCAGCACGCCA